AGCAUGCAGAAAUUCCCAGACCAGAGAUCAAACCCACACCACAGAAGCAACAAAGCUGAAUCCUUAACCCUCUGAGCCACCAGCUCCAUGACACAGGAAGGGCCAAAAAAAAAAGGCCUCUAGGUGAGCCUAACACACAUGAAUCUGAGAACUACUGAUGUAAAGUAAAGGGACCGGUGGCUUAAAACAAAGAAAUGGUUGGAGUUUCCAUUGCGGUACAGUGGAAACAAAUCUGACUAGGAACCAUGAGGUUGUGGGUUCGCUCCUUGGUCUCGCUCAGAGAGUUAAGGAUCUGGCGUUGCUGUGAGCUGUGGUGUAGGCCGGCAGCUGUAGCUCUGAUUAGAUCCCUAGCCCGGGAACCUCCAUAUACCACUAGUGUGGCCCUAAAAAGCAAAACAAACAAACAAACAAACAAACAAAAAAAACCCCCACAAAGAAAUGGUAUGCUUAUAUCUGUGUUUUAGAAAGAUAGCUCUGAUAGUAUACAUUAAAGCCAAGAGAAACACAAGAAAUCAAACAUUUAUAUUGCACCUGCAAUGUAUCAAGUACAAGGUGCUUUAUGGGUAUUUAUGUCUUGUUUGGACCUAAAGCCGGCGAGGCUGUCUGUGUCCAGACUCCCAGAGAGCCCUCAGUGCAGUUCUCCCAGUAAGGGUUGCCUCAAGCUGCCCACACUGACUGCCCUACUGCCCCCUCUGCUGGGCCAAGGAUCACUAUCUGCUCAUUCUGUCCUAUGUCCUUCUGGGAUGCAGACACUGAAGUCUUUCAUCCCUCCUAAUAGCCAGAACGAGCUUGCAUGGACCGCAAUAGGGCACUCUGAGAUAACGUGCAAUGUCUGCUGGGUCCAAGCACCUUUGGGGCCUUUGCCACAAAGCUCUAGAGCUCCUCGGAUCCGCAUAAUGUAAGUCAGCAGCGAACUUUUUAGCAUGGAAUCCUUCUUCCAUCCCCUGGGCCCCAGGACCAUAAAUAAAAAGAAGACACUGGUGCUAGAUCCAAAUGAGACACUUUGCUAACUUCCACUACGACGGCCUGAGGUCACAGUCCUCCUUAUUUUGUUUGUUUGUUUUGUUUUUGUUUUUUGUCUUUUUAGGGCCGCACUGGCGGCAUAUGGAGGUUCCCAGGCUAGGAGUCUCAUGGGAGCUGCAGCCACAGGCCUGCACCAGAGCCACAGCAACUCGGGAUCCAAGCCUCGUCUGCGACCUACACCACAGAUCAUGUCAACGCCAGAUCCUUAACCCACUGAGCAAGGCCAGGGAUCGAACCCGCAACCUCAUGGUUCCUAGUCGGGUUCGUUUCCACCGCGCCAGACUUUCUUUUGGAAAUGUUGAGCCUGUGGCACCAGCUGCUGUUCUUGUAGAAAGUGGGACGUUUAAGACUCUGCAGGGUAUCAGCAGAGGCACGGUCAAGAGGAGCUACCACAGAGAGACGGUACCUCCCAACCAAGGUCUGCUUUACUGACCUUCUGUGACCCCACUGUUUGAGGCCUCCACAGUCUGGUUCCAAUGCUGAUGCAUCCAGUUCUCUGUUAAUGCCUGUUCUAUGGGGGACUGGAAUUUUCAUCAGCAUUGGCUCCAGUAAAAACUGCUCCCCUCCCAUUUAACCAGGGGUAUUACUGAUGAAUGGAGCAUGAGUCUUUGGGAUGCUUUCUGAUACCCUAGCCAAUGCUGGGUGAACAAACCGCACAGCAUCUGCAGUAGGCUCACCCAAACUGUGUCCACACUC
ensembl:lncRNA